rnacentral:lncRNA from 1 species
CUCCAAGAUAGGAUUUCACAAAAUCAUUCUGUUAUUCAUCCUCAAAAUUGUGGCAUCUUUUGAAAUAGACAUUAUAACAAUGAAAUGUGAGAAUAUUUUAAGAAACAGUAAAGCAAAUAAACGGGUCUAUUUUUACUAGUAUCAAGUUAAAUUGCAGUAAUUGAUAAUAUACACUUUUAUAUCGUUAUUGGGUACAUAAGUUAAAUUAUUAUCAAAUUACGUUCUUUAUUAGUAAAGCCAAAUAACGAAAGGGAAAUGGAAAGGACGAGGGGACCCAGUUAUAUAUAUGUUAUUGAAAUUGUGAGCUUGCUGACUUUUCAACAGAAAUUUGAGUUUACAAAGUUGAUAUUUAAUUUCUCUUUAGAAAAACACAAUACAGAAAAAAUGGAAAAGAAAAGAAAAAACAAAACCUUCCGAAUAUUUCUUAGUCUUUGGUUGCUUUGUUACAACUAACAAUACAAGAGACCAUUUCCUUUUAACCCUUUAAUAUUCCUUCUUUCUUGUCUCGUGACAACCAAAGAAGCAAGCUUAUAAAUUGUGAAGAAAAAAGGAAUGAUAUGAGGACAAAGAAAAAGAGUGUGUAUGGAAUUAAGCCAAGUGUUAGACUUGCCUAAGAGCUUUAUAUUCUUUAACUCAUCCUUCUCCUGCUCUUAUUGCUCCUUUGUUCAUUCCCAUGCAACAAUUUCCACUCUUAUGAUGAACCUCAAAAUUUUCCAUAGACUUCCUUCUUGAAAUUAAGAAAGGAGGAGGAACAUAUAGAAAAAAUCAAUGAAAAGAGGAGGUGGUAAGAGUUUGGGAGCAAAAUGGAGGAAUAUUUAUAAGGGAAUGGAUUACUUAGUUAUCAUAGGUGGUAAAGACGGAAGGUACAAGGUGGUUGGGGGUGGGGUGGGGGGUAAAAGAAAUAAAACUUUAUUAAUUAGGGACCACAUAUCAUGUUUUAUAUUUUGUUUUUUGUCUUCUUUUUAUUUUCUACUAGAUGAGCUCUGUUUGUGCGGAGCACGAGCCCAACACUUUAAAUUUUUGUUAUUUGUG